rnacentral:lncRNA from 1 species
GCCAAUUUCCACCCUCUCUCUGGAAACUGUCAUUAGGGUUAGGGAAACUGUCAUGAGAUCUGCAUAUUUUAGAUAGAGGCUGCUUGCCUUAUUUGGGCACCUAAUGAAAAAGACAUGGAGGCCAGGUGCGGUGGCUCAUGUCUGUAAUCCCAGCACUUUGGGAGGCCAAGGCGAGUGGAUCACCUGAGGUCAGGAGUUCGAGACCAGCCUGACCAACAUGGCAAAACCCCGUCUGUACUAAAAGUGCAAACACAAAGGGAACUGCGUGGCUUGUUUCUACCUGAACAUUGUCAAGUGAUUUCAUCCUUUGAAACACAGUUGUGAAGUGUGUCCAGCAGUCUGAGAACAAGAAGAAGAAGAAAAUCUAAUCCUUCAGGGUGUCUGUGUGCCAGCCCUGCUCUCAGCACUUCCCAUGUGGAACUCCUUUACUUCUCCUAACAACUCCAUGACAUGGGUUAGACUGUGAUUGUUCCCAUAUUGUUGGUAGGGAAACUGAGGCAUGCAGGUGUUACAGAGCUCUCUCAAGUGGCAAGCUUUCUGGGUGGUUACAGAGUGGCAGAGCUGGGGUAUCCCAUGAUGUCACCACACUGCUAUAUGGAAAAGAACAUUAAUCGAGCACCUACGUGCUUGAUUCUCUUAAUUCUGUGACUGAACUCUCAAAACACCCUGGGUUGGUUUCCUUUUUACAACUGCCCAAGUCAUGAGUUCAUAGGGCCUGGAUGGCUGUACCGGAUUGCUCUCCAGCUGGUCUCUCUGCAUCCAGAAAUUUCUACAACCUACUGGGGUAAAAUCUUUCUCAACCCUGCUUUUCAUCAUCACAUCUUAAAUAUCUCGAGUUGGUUCCCUAUUGCCAAAAAAAAUCCAUUGUCCAUGUAGGGUUCUUCUGCCGAAACGAGGAAAGAGUGAGUUAAAUGUUGGUAGGUGAUAUAGAGAUAGUAAUUAGGCAAUAUAAUUCGAUGUUGUUGAAAGAGCUGAGCUAUGAAAUGCAUUGUGAUAAAGGGGCUGCCUGUGUAAGUAAAUGGGUAUAAUGAGGUGUAAAACUCCCUUUCUCUCUCUCUUUCUGCUUCAUAAGCCUUUCUGCUUCUCAAGUCCAGACCUGCUGUUUUUGGGGUUUCCUUCCAAUUUUUUUGCUGCUUCCCUGGGGCCUUGGCUCUUGGGCCUGCUGCCUCUUCCCACUCUACACCUUUGGAUUCCUUAUCUUUGGCUCCACCUUAUUGCUCCAUUCUCCAAAGACAAAUCCACAAGGCAUAGGAUUUUACAGAAUAUGGGGUUACAGAAACAGCAUAGGGAAGUGUAAAAGCCUAGAAGCUUCUUACAGACGCAGCCCCUUGUCUGUAGCUCCUGACUCCCACUUAAAUGUCUGUUGGAAGCACCCUGGGGUAGCAGAACCCAGCUCAGAAGAUGGGGCUUAUCCACCAUGCCUUUUCCUAACCUGACACCCACCCAGAUAAUCUUUUCAAUAUGCAAACUAGAGCGUAUCACCCCCUGCUCAGAGCCUUUCUGUGACCUCCCAUUUUGCUUCCCAGGACUCCUUGCUCCUUAGCCAGGUCUCCAGGUCCUCCGUGAUCAGGUCUCUGCUCUUCUGCAGCCUCAUCUCUGCCAUUCUUCACCUUUUGUGCUCCAACCCAAUCUGGUUUUCUUCUCAUGCUUUGAACACCCCAAGUCUGUCUGCUUCAGGAGCUUCGUACUGGCUAAUCAUUCACCACAGCAUACUCCCAUCUAUACGGCUGGCUCUUAUAUUAUGGGUCUCAGCUAAAAUGUCAUCCCUUCAAAGAGACCUUCUUGGACCACCCCCGCCAUUCUCUAUCCUAUUUCUCUCUUUUAUUUUCUUUGAAGCACUUACCCACUUUCAGAAACUAUCUGGCUUGCUCAUGUGUUUGUCUCUAGAUUGUCUACUUCCCCUCCUAGACUGUACUCUCCACAAGAGAGCAAAGCUGUGUCUGUUGCAUUCACUGUUGUCUUCCCAGAAGCAAGCAGCAUGCUGGAGACCCUCAAAUACAUGUGAAAUGAAGGGACACCUUGUGUUAUUUCACCUGUUUCCACCUGGUUCCCAAGUGGCAAGCUUGCAUUGAGGUUACAAAGUGGCAAAGCUGGGAUAUCACAUGAUGUCACCAUGAUGCUAUAUGAAAUGUAACAUUAAUUGAGUACCUAUGUGACCAGUUCUUUAAUUCUGUAAGUGAACUCUCAAAAAACCCUAGGUAAGUAUUAUCAACUCGAACUUUAACGGAUGAGGAAACUGGAAUUUUUUAAAAAAUGACUUAACCAAACAUCACAGAGCUGUAAACCAGGAUUUGAAUGGGUGAGCUGCACUCAGCCUUCAUCUCAAGUCAGUUUGCCUCUUUCUCCAAGAAGCCACAGUUGAUCCUGACCACAUCACAUAUGAGUUGCCUGGAUUGCAGUCAUUCAUUCACUAAGCAUCUUUUAGGAGGUCACAUGCCAGGCACCGUGUUAGGUAAUGAUUUCUCCAAGUCACAGGAGCCGUGGUUCUGACUUUAGAAAGUUUCUCAUCUGAUGGGAGGGCAGGCAAGUAAAUCAGUAAGGGUGGUCCCUGUCGGGACACUGGUUGAGAAAUACCCAGGAACACUCUGAUUGAGAAAUACCCAAAGUGCAAAGUGACAGGGACUAGAGGCAUCUCCACUGGACCAGAGAGCUCUGGAUUCGUCUUGAGCUAAGUCUCUGGAGGUAGGUGUCAGCUACAAGGAGAAAAGCUGUAUAUUUUGAGAUAUGGGAUGCAGGGCCUUUUAGUUCCAUAAAUAAGAGAACUAUGGUGUGAAUACCACAUGCCCUGGGCUGAACUAAGUGGGCUCUAGGGGAAGGUAUACUGGGCAGGGAGUUUGGAGAACUGGUUUCUGUCUAAUCCUUCUCUAACUCUGUGACCUUGAAUGCAUCAUUUCCCCUCUGAGUCUCAGAUUCUCUUUCUGGCUGGCAUUUAAUGAAACCUAAAUAUUCUAGACCUUCUACUUGUUCCAUAAGUGCUCAGUCCUACACUCACUCUCCUCUGGCACCAAUAUACUGAUUACUCAUUUUAUGCCCAGCAGAGCACUGCGUGUUUUGAAAUAUACAAAUAGUGGGAAACGAAAUCUUUGUUCUGGAUGCAGUUAUAAUUUGGAAAGCGAGGAAAUAAAUUAUAACAAGGGGAAAAAACAGACACAGAGGGAUUGAAAUGCAUAACAAUAGAGAUGAAACACGAAGAGUGAUAAAUGAAGAUUGAGUGUGCACACCUUCUGGAGGAGCCCUGAUUGAGUAUUUUAAAAUACUACUAAAGUCAUGCCGUGUGACUUCUGAAGCUAGCUCCUAAGAAGUCCUUGCAGCUUCUGCCUGCGACUCUUAGAACACUUGCUUUGAAGGAUGCCAGAUGCUGUCUUAAAAGUCUGAGCACUCUGAAACCAUCAUGCUGUGAGGAAGCCCAAGCUAACCACAUGGGCAAAAAAGAUGCCCUCUGACUGCCACCAUUUGAGACACUCUAAUUAAGAACUGCCUCAUUGAGCCCAUGAGGCCCUGUGAAUGAUAAUAAUAAAUUGUUUUUAACCACUA